rnacentral:rRNA from 2 species
UUAAGCGACUAAGCGUACACGGUGGAUGCCCUGGCAGUCAGAGGCGAUGAAGGACGUGCUAAUCUGCGAUAAGCGUCGGUAAGGUGAUAUGAACCGUUAUAACCGGCGAUUUCCGAAUGGGGAAACCCAGUGUGUUUCGACACACUAUCAUUAACUGAAUCCAUAGGUUAAUGAGGCGAACCGGGGGAACUGAAACAUCUAAGUACCCCGAGGAAAAGAAAUCAACCGAGAUUCCCCCAGUAGCGGCGAGCGAACGGGGAGCAGCCCAGAGCCUGAAUCAGUGUGUGUGUUAGUGGAAGCGUCUGGAAAGGCGCGCGAUACAGGGUGACAGCCCCGUACACAAAAAUGCACAUGCUGUGAGCUCGAUGAGUAGGGCGGGACACGUGGUAUCCUGUCUGAAUAUGGGGGGACCAUCCUCCAAGGCUAAAUACUCCUGACUGACCGAUAGUGAACCAGUACCGUGAGGGAAAGGCGAAAAGAACCCCGGCGAGGGGAGUGAAAAAGAACCUGAAACCGUGUACGUACAAGCAGUGGGAGCACAGAGCAAUCUGUGUGACUGCGUACCUUUUGUAUAAUGGGUCAGCGACUUAUAUUCUGUAGCAAGGUUAACCGAAUAGGGGAGCCGAAGGGAAACCGAGUCUUAACUGGGCGUUAAGUUGCAGGGUAUAGACCCGAAACCCGGUGAUCUAGCCAUGGGCAGGUUGAAGGUUGGGUAACACUAACUGGAGGACCGAACCGACUAAUGUUGAAAAAUUAGCGGAUGACUUGUGGCUGGGGGUGAAAGGCCAAUCAAACCGGGAGAUAGCUGGUUCUCCCCGAAAGCUAUUUAGGUAGCGCCUCGUGAAUUCAUCUCCGGGGGUAGAGCACUGUUUCGGCAAGGGGGUCAUCCCGACUUACCAACCCGAUGCAAACUGCGAAUACCGGAGAAUGUUAUCACGGGAGACACACGGCGGGUGCUAACGUCCGUCGUGAAGAGGGAAACAACCCAGACCGCCAGCUAAGGUCCCAAAGUCAUGGUUAAGUGGGAAACGAUGUGGGAAGGCCCAGACAGCCAGGAUGUUGGCUUAGAAGCAGCCAUCAUUUAAAGAAAGCGUAAUAGCUCACUGGUCGAGUCGGCCUGCGCGGAAGAUGUAACGGGGCUAAACCAUGCACCGAAGCUGCGGCAGCGACGCUUAUGCGUUGUUGGGUAGGGGAGCGUUCUGUAAGCCUGCGAAGGUGUGCUGUGAGGCAUGCUGGAGGUAUCAGAAGUGCGAAUGCUGACAUAAGUAACGAUAAAGCGGGUGAAAAGCCCGCUCGCCGGAAGACCAAGGGUUCCUGUCCAACGUUAAUCGGGGCAGGGUGAGUCGACCCCUAAGGCGAGGCCGAAAGGCGUAGUCGAUGGGAAACAGGUUAAUAUUCCUGUACUUGGUGUUACUGCGAAGGGGGGACGGAGAAGGCUAUGUUGGCCGGGCGACGGUUGUCCCGGUUUAAGCGUGUAGGCUGGUUUUCCAGGCAAAUCCGGAAAAUCAAGGCUGAGGCGUGAUGACGAGGCACUACGGUGCUGAAGCAACAAAUGCCCUGCUUCCAGGAAAAGCCUCUAAGCAUCAGGUAACAUCAAAUCGUACCCCAAACCGACACAGGUGGUCAGGUAGAGAAUACCAAGGCGCUUGAGAGAACUCGGGUGAAGGAACUAGGCAAAAUGGUGCCGUAACUUCGGGAGAAGGCACGCUGAUAUGUAGGUGAAGUCCCUCGCGGAUGGAGCUGAAAUCAGUCGAAGAUACCAGCUGGCUGCAACUGUUUAUUAAAAACACAGCACUGUGCAAACACGAAAGUGGACGUAUACGGUGUGACGCCUGCCCGGUGCCGGAAGGUUAAUUGAUGGGGUUAGCGGUAACGCGAAGCUCUUGAUCGAAGCCCCGGUAAACGGCGGCCGUAACUAUAACGGUCCUAAGGUAGCGAAAUUCCUUGUCGGGUAAGUUCCGACCUGCACGAAUGGCGUAAUGAUGGCCAGGCUGUCUCCACCCGAGACUCAGUGAAAUUGAACUCGCUGUGAAGAUGCAGUGUACCCGCGGCAAGACGGAAAGACCCCGUGAACCUUUACUAUAGCUUGACACUGAACAUUGAGCCUUGAUGUGUAGGAUAGGUGGGAGGCUUUGAAGUGUGGACGCCAGUCUGCAUGGAGCCGACCUUGAAAUACCACCCUUUAAUGUUUGAUGUUCUAACGUGGACCCGUGAUCCGGGUUGCGGACAGUGUCUGGUGGGUAGUUUGACUGGGGCGGUCUCCUCCUAAAGAGUAACGGAGGAGCACGAAGGUUGGCUAAUCCUGGUCGGACAUCAGGAGGUUAGUGCAAUGGCAUAAGCCAGCUUGACUGCGAGCGUGACGGCGCGAGCAGGUGCGAAAGCAGGUCAUAGUGAUCCGGUGGUUCUGAAUGGAAGGGCCAUCGCUCAACGGAUAAAAGGUACUCCGGGGAUAACAGGCUGAUACCGCCCAAGAGUUCAUAUCGACGGCGGUGUUUGGCACCUCGAUGUCGGCUCAUCACAUCCUGGGGCUGAAGUAGGUCCCAAGGGUAUGGCUGUUCGCCAUUUAAAGUGGUACGCGAGCUGGGUUUAGAACGUCGUGAGACAGUUCGGUCCCUAUCUGCCGUGGGCGCUGGAGAACUGAGGGGGGCUGCUCCUAGUACGAGAGGACCGGAGUGGACGCAUCACUGGUGUUCGGGUUGUCAUGCCAAUGGCACUGCCCGGUAGCUAAAUGCGGAAGAGAUAAGUGCUGAAAGCAUCUAAGCACGAAACUUGCCCCGAGAUGAGUUCUCCCUGACUCCUUGAGAGUCCUGAAGGAACGUUGAAGACGACGACGUUGAUAGGCCGGGUGUGUAAGCGCAGCGAUGCGUUGAGCUAACCGGUACUAAUGAACCGUGAGGCUUAACCUU